rnacentral:rRNA from 1 species
GACAGAGGGUGCAAACGUUGUUCGGAAUUACUGGGCGUAAAGCGCGUGUAGGCGGCUAAGUGUGUCGGGCGUGAAAUCCCACGGCUCAACUGUGGAAGUGCACCCGAAACUACGUAGCUAGAGUCCUGGAGAGGAAGGUGGAAUGCUUGGUGUAGAGGUGAAAUUCGUAGAUAUCAAGCGGAACACCGGUGGCGAAGGCGGCCUUCUGGACAGUGACUGACGCUGAGACGCGAAAGCGUGGGGAGCAAACAGG